CCUAUUACAUUUCAAAGAAAAAGAAAACCCAAGAACAUUCUUUUCCCUGGAGAAGAUGAUGAUGGUGAGAUGGAAGGACACCAGAAAGAACCAAAGUCAAAAAAAGGAAGGUAUUCCAUACCUGAUGCUCCAAAAAUCGUUAGACAACACAAAUUAGACCCAGGAAAGCCAAGCUGCCCGAAGCUCUGCCACAGUACUCCUGACCUCCCUAAUGAUGAGAUGAAUUGCAUUAAAGGAACA